rnacentral:rRNA from 1 species
GAUGAACGCUGGCGGCGUGCCUAAUACAUGCAAGUCGAGCGAACAGACGAGGAGCUUGCUCCUCUGACGUUAGCGGCGGACGGGUGAGUAACACGUGGAUAACCUACCUAUAGGACUGGGAUAACUUCGGGAAACCGGAGCUAAUACCGGAUAAUAUAUUGAACCGUAUGGUUCAAUAGUGAAAGACGGUUUUGCUGUCACUUAUAGAUGGAUCCGCGCCGCAUUAGCUAGUUGGUAAGGUAACGGCUUACCAAGGCGACGAUGCGUAGCCGACCUGAGAGGGUGAUCGGCCACACUGGAACUGAGACACGGUCCAGACUCCUACGGGAGGCAGCAGUAGGGAAUCUUCCGCAAUGGGCGAAAGCCUGACGGAGCAACGCCGCGUGAGUGAUGAAGGUCUUCGGAUCGUAAAACUCUGUUAUUAGGGAAGAACAAAUGUGUAAGUAACUAUGCACGUCUUGACGGUACCUAAUCAGAAAGCCACGGCUAACUACGUG